rnacentral:rRNA from 1 species
ACGAGUGCCUCAAGCGUUAUCCGGAAUUACUGGGCGUAAAGCGUGCGCAGGCGGUUUCGUAAGACAGAUGUGAAAUCCCCGGGCUUAACCUGGGAACUGCAUUUGUGACUGCGAGACUAGAGUGCGGCAGAGGGGGGUAGAAUUCCACGUGUAGCAGUGAAAUGCGUAGAUAUGUGGAGGAAUACCGAUGGCGAAGGCAGCCCCCUGGGUCGACACUGACGCUCAUGCACGAAAGCGUGGGGAGCAAACAGGAUUAGAUACCCUGGUAGUCCACGCCCUAAACGAUGUCAACUAGGUGUUGGGGGAGGAGACUUCCUUAGUACCGCAGCUAACGCGUGAAGUUGACCGCCUGGGGAGUACGGCCGCAAGGUUG